AGUGUGAGUGUGUGUGUUUCUGCAUUGUGUGAUCUCAUACAACAGUGAGUGUGUGUGUGAUCUUCUUGAGUGUGUGAAAGCCUUGUGUGCGUAAAUCCCAACAGCAUGCAUUCUUUGGGACUCCAGGUUCGUGCAAUGAUAUUAAUGUACUCCAUCGGUCUCCUGUUUUUGAUGAUGUCUUAGAAGGUCGAGCACCAUAUGUUAAUUACGUAGUGAAUGGUCAUCAAUAUAAUAUGGCGUAUUAUCUUACUGAUGGCAUAUAUCCUGCAUGAGCUACAUUUGUCAAGUCAAUCACUUCUCCACAAACUCAAAAGCAUAAGUUGUUUGCUCAACACCAAGAGUCUAUUAGAAAAGAUGUUGAGCGAGCAUUUGGAGUCCUACAAGCACGUUUUGCAUUUUUGCGAAGGCCGUGUCUUGUAUGGGAUAAGAUUUUGAUGGGAAAAAUUAUGAUGGCUUGUAUCAUCAUGCAUAAUAUGAUAGUAGAAGAUGAACGUGAUACAUAUCAAAAUUAUUAUGAUGCCACUGAGUUUAUUCAAGAUACGCAUACAAGAGUACAUGAAGAAAAUGUUGAAGCCUUUCGCUAUUCCACUCAACGGAUCGGGAGCUUGUCAUCAUAUAUGACUAAUCGAGCUCAACUCCGCAAUAGAGAAGCUCAUAUUGCUCUUCGAGAAGAUUUGAUUGAGCACAGACAAUUAAAUAUGUACUAAUGUUUAUCUUAUUUAAGUUAGCUUUUUUUUCACUCUUCAUUUGUAUUUUGGUUUGUUUAUUUCUAUUAUCGCCUUGUAUUCUUUAAUGUGUGUAAUUUGUUAUUAUAUUGUGCUUUAAUUAUUUGAAUAUCUAAUAUUUUCUGUUUUAAAUUUGAAUCAUAUAUUUUUUAUUAUAAUUGUUAGACAUUAUUUAAUAUAUCUAAAUUAACUAUAAAUUAAAAUAUUAAUAUAAAAUAUAUGAAAAAGAAGAUAUUUAAUUGGGUUGGGUUGGGGUCACUGAUGGAAGUAAAAAAAGUUGAUGGGGGUUGAAUUGAUGGAGAGUUGUGUAUGUAGAAGAUAGAGAAAUGAAUAUUAUAUUAAAAAGUUGAUUGAGGUUGAGUUGGAUGAGUGUCACAGAUGGAGAUAGUCUAAGAAAGAGGAGGAGGGGCAAGCUCGAAUGAACAUGGAGAGGAAACAAGCUGAGCUGUACAACCAAGAGGCUGCCUCAUUAGGCAGUAAGACAACCAUUUUGUCACAUUCCCCUCUUACACCAAAGUAGAGGUUAGAACAAAGAAGCAUAGAAGAAUGAGCCCAAUGUUCAUGCUCAAAAUGAGUAUGAAUCAGAUCCCAUUUUCCAUCACCAAGGCUGGGAGAAAACUGCCAAGGAGGGCAGCCCCAAACAUUCACCAAUGUAGUAAGAGUAGCAGUAUCACAAGCUUGAAAAGGAGCUGAGAAAACAACCCCAAAAUAGCAUCACAACCUCACAAAAAUCAAGCACAAGAUGCCAAUUGUUUGAGAGCUAUAUAAACAAGCCCCCUCACCACUCCCUUCUCCCCGAUAAUUCGACGCUAUCGCGAGAAGUGCAGCGAAGGGGAGGGAAGAGGAGCGAGGGCGGCGAGAGAUCGGUCCACAACCGAGAAAGGUCACCAAGCAAGGUUGAGCAGUGAUGACGGCGGGCGGUGUUGAGCAUAGAUGAUGAAUAUCCUUCGAUUGAAUAGUACUCGGAUGCGACGUGUCUCCAUACACGACGUUAUCUGCUCUUGACUCUUCCGCUGCAAUGUAAAAGUCGAGUUUGCGCUCUUUGUAUCGUGCACUCUGAUAUAUAUUAUUUGAGUUAUUUCGGUUCAA